UCGACUGUUUUACAAAAACAUUUCUUUUAGAGUUAAAUUAAAAGUAAAACCUGCCCACUGAUAAUUUAAAGGGCCGCGGUAUUAUGACCGUGCUAAGGUAGCAUAAUCAUUAGUCUCUUAAUUAGGGAAUAGUAUGAAUGGUAAAACACAUAAAAAUUUUAUUUUUUGAAUGAUCUGAAGUUUAAUUUAAAGUGAAAAUGCUUUAGUUAAUUUAAAAGACGAUAAGACCCUUUAGAGCUUAGAACCUAAAAUUAACGUGGGUUUUGGGGGGAGCUCAUGUUAAUUUUAGGUUCUUAGUUGGGGCAAUUUUAGAAUAAAUAAAACUUCUAAUAAAAUUAAUAUCUUUUGUUAAAAAAAUUUAAAAAGUUACCUAAGGGAUAACAGCGUUAUAAUCUUUAAGAGUUCGUAUCGACAAGAUUGUUUGCGACCUCGAUGUUGAAUUAAAAAUUCUAAAUAGGGCAGUUUUUAUUUAAGAAAGUCUGUUCGACUAUGAAAAUUUUACAUGAUUUGAGUUCAGACCGGA
rnacentral:rRNA from 1 species